rnacentral:lncRNA from 1 species
UUGAAUUCAUUCUGCUCUUUUUAUGUAAUGGAUUGUUCUUUUCUUAAUUAAUAUUAUACCACAUUCUUUCAAAGGUUAAUAGGUUCAAAUCCCUGUGGCAGCGUCCAACGUAAGUUUAUGUAAUUAAUAUUAUACCCAUUAUAACUUGAUUUUAUAUGAAUUUAUUAAAGUAUUAUUGCUAGUAUAAUAUGAUUACAUAUUCCUAGCUCCUAAUAUAUAGUUAUUGGCUCAAACCACUACAUGCUAGUGUAUUAAAUUUUGAUUUUUUUAGUUAUGUUAUUGGUA